rnacentral:rRNA from 1 species
AGAGGGUGCGAGCGUUAAUCGGAAUCACUGGGCGUAAAGGGCACGUAGGUGGAAUGUUAAGUAUUCUGUGAAAUCCCCGGGGCUUAACCUGGGCCUGUCAGAAUAGACUGGCAUUCUAGAGUACGGUAGAGGGAAGUGGAAUUUCCGGUGUAGCGGUGAAAUGCGUAGAUAUCGGAAGGAACACCAGUGGCGAAGGCGUCUUCCUGGACCGAGACUGACACUGAAGAGCGAAAGCGUGGGGAGCAAACAGGAUUAGAUACCCUGGUAGUCCACGCUGUAAACGAUGAGUACUAGAUGUUGGGCAGCACAGAACUGCCGAGUAUCGAAGCAAACGCGUUAAGUACUCCGCCUGGGAAGUACGGCCGCAAGGUUA